GAUCAUGGCUCAGGAUGAACGCUAGCUACAGGCUUAACACAUGCAAGUCGAGGGGAAACGACAUCGAAAGCUUGCUUUUGAUGGGCGUCGACCGGCGCACGGGUGAGUAACGCGUAUCCAACCUGCCCACCACUUGGGGAUAACCUUGCGAAAGUAAGGCUAAUACCCAAUGAUAUCUCUAGAAGACGUCUGAAAGGGAUUAAAGAUUUAUCGGUGAUGGAUGGGGAUGCGUCUGAUUAG
rnacentral:rRNA from 1 species